rnacentral:lncRNA from 1 species
UCGCAAAGGCGGGCUCCCUAGGGUCCACGCAGAUCUCAGCUCGAGCGUCCGUCUCCAUCAAAGACCCCUUCUCUCUCGGCCGUCUUUCUCCGAACACCUCAUCCGGGGGUGACCUGGGUCUUCCAGCCGCUGCUCCCCUGGAGCCCUGGCCCCUCGCCCUCUGUCUCCAGCUGCAAACCGCAGGAGCGCUUGAGGACGGGGCUUCUCAGCUUCCACCCCCACCCCAGCCCCGACCCGUGGCCAGCAUGAAGGACAAGCUGGGAGUGCAGCCACUUCCAACGUAGGUCUCCUGGCCGUGGCCCCAGUAACCCUAUGUGCCCUCUGGGCUGCCCCACUCACACACACACACUGGGCCUCACUCAGCGUCAUGGAGGAGUUCCCAUCGUGGUGCAGUGGUUAACAAAUCCGACUAGGAACCAUGAGGUUGCGGGUUCGAUCCCUGGCCUUGCUCCGUGGGUUCAGGAUCCGGCGUUGCCCUGAGCUGUGGCGUAGGUUGCAGAUGCGACUCGGAUCCUGCGUUGCUGUGGCUCUGGCGUAGGCCGAUGGCUAUGGCUCUGAUUAGACCCCUAGCCUGGGAAUCUGCCUAUGCUGCGGGAAUGGCCCAAGAAAUGGCAAAAAGACAAAAAAAGAAAAAAAAGAAGUAUCACAGAGGGGGCAGGGAAGGCCCCUCGUAAGAAAACGGAAUUCUCCACUUCGCCCCCACAUCAGGCCUGCUUUUAACCCUGGGCAGAGUCAAAGGGACAGAGGAGCCCCUGAAAUGUGCAGGUAGUUCCUGAGCGCUUAUUGGGGACACCCGGUCCUGGCAAAGCGCUCCUGCUGAACAGAUUGGGUUUGGCUGUCUUUUAGCCAUGUGGGCAGUUUUAAAGGAGACGUUGCUGCGUUCCAGAGACACAACAAGAGCGCUCCAGGCAGAGGGACCCAUGGGGGUGGGAGCGUGGCUCCCAGACUUCCGCUGCUUGGUUUGCACAGGGUCUGUGUCCAGGGGGGCUCAUGGCAAGAAGCUACUUCUUUGUCAAGGGAGCGAUUCCUGGCCAGCAGCGACGGAGAAGCCAAAACAGCCGUGAAUUUAGAGACACGCCAGCCUCAGCAGCCACUCCGCUCUGUGCCUCUGCCUCUUUCCAACAUCAGAACACGGGCCUUGAGUGUCUGCCUUCCUCCCCAGUCCUCAAGUUUUCAUAUGAGGUGGCUAUUUCAGUGCAGUCUUACGUGGAAACAACUCAAAUGUCCAUCCACAGACGAUUGGAUUAGGAAGAUGUGGAAUACAUUGGAUUAGGAAGAUAUGGAACACAAUGGAAUACUACUCAGCCAUAAAAAAGAAUGCAGCAAUGCCAUUUGCAGCAACAUGGAUGGAACUAGAGAUGCUCAUCCUGAGUGAAGUAAGUCAGAAAGAGAAAGACAAAUGCCACAUGAUGUCACUUCUGUCUGGAAUCUAAUAUAAGGCACACAUGAACCUUUCCACAGAAAAGAAAAUUAUGGACUUGCAGAGUAGACUUGUGGUUGCCAAGGGGGAGGGGGAAGGAGUGGGGUGGUUGGGGAGUUUGGGGUUAAGAGAUGCAAACUAUUGCCUUUGGAACGGACAAGCAAUGAGAUCCUGCUGUGUAGCCCUGGGAACUAUGGCUAGUCACUUAAGAAGGAGGAUGAUAAUGUGAGAAAAAAGAAUCUAUACAUGUAUGUGUAACUGGGACACCAUGCUGUACAGUAGGGAAAAAAAUGUAUUGGGGAAACAACUAUUUAAAAAAAAUAAUAAUAAUAAAUGCAGUCUUGGUGGCA